rnacentral:tRNA from 1 species
GCCUGCGUAGUUCAACAGCUAGAACGAGGGAUUCAUAACCCCUAGAAGGAAGUGCGACUCUUCCCGCAGGCA